GGGGUCAAACACAGGUUUAAUGGUGUAAAAUAGUGUAAAUGUGUGAUGUUUAAUAACAGGAUUAUUGAUCUCUCUCUCCUCCCUCUGAUUGGCUCGUAUCACUCAGGUGUUAUAAAACAUCAACUUUGGACCUGUUGCUCUCAGCUUUGGCUCCGCCCCACUUCCUUGUGUCCCAGCUUCUUGUCUGUGGUUAGUUAGUGGAGCAGGUGUGUAGUUUGGAACUGUUGUGUUUACACACUCAGAGACCAACAGCAUUUUCUUAGUUGCUCUCAAUGCUGCUGUUGCCCUUUGUUGCCUCGUUGCCCCACUUCACCUGCUGUGUUAGAGCUCACCUGUCCAUUCAGCAUCAGUGACACCACCUGACAGCUCAUCAUCUCAUAACGUGGAGAUGGAUCAGGACACGGUGAAGGAACAACAUGAGAUCCAGACUGAAGAUCAGAGGACCAGGGAGCAGCUCAGACCUGGACCCAGCUGUCUGUCCUUUAGAAGUGACCAGUCCAUGCACAGACUCAUUGGAUUCAAAGGAGGUCCAUCUACUGACCCACAGUGAGUCCACAUAAAGAAGGUUGCUGGUUGUCUUCCUGAUGGUCCAGGGGCCUCAUUUAUUGAUCCGUUCAAAAGAUCUGCGGAGAUGGAACAAUCUCCCCAUCUCACUACU
rnacentral:lncRNA from 1 species